GAUGAACGCUAGCGGCAGGCUUAACACAUGCAAGUCGAGGGGUAGAGGAAGCUUGCUUCCUUGAGACCGGCGCACGGGUGCGUAACGCGUAUGCAACCUACCUUUUACAGAGGGAUAGCCCAGAGAAAUUUGGAUUAAUACCUCAUGGUAUAUAUCAUUCGCAUGUUUGAUAUAUUAAAGUUCCAACGGUAAAGAUGGGCAUGCGUCCUAUUAGCUAGAUGGUAAGGUAACGGCUUACCAAGACAAUGAUGGGUAGGGUCCUGAGAGGGAGAUCCCCCACACUGGUACUGAGACACGGACCAGACUCCUACGGGAGGCAGCAGUGAGGAAUAUUGGUCAAUGGGCGCAAGCCUGAACCAGCCAUGCCGCGUGCAGGAAGACGGUCCUAUGGAUUGUAAACUGCUUUUGUACAGGAAGAAACACUCCCUCGUGAGGAGCUUGACGGUACUGUAAGAAUAAGGAUCGGCUAACUCCGUGCCAGCAGCCG
rnacentral:rRNA from 1 species